CAUCACUACGCUAGAUGCAUAUCAAUAAGCGGAGGAAAAGAAACUAACUAAGGAUUCCCUCAGUAACGGCGAGUGAAGCGGGAAGAGCUCAAAUUUGAAAUCUUCAAGGUUUUACCUUGACGAAUUGUAGUUUAAAGAAGUGUUUUCUGUUGAAGUUUUGGUAAAAGUUCUUUGGAAUAGGACAUCAUAGAGGGUGAGAAUCCCGUAUUUGACCAUUAUCUUUCAGCUGUGUGAUACACUUUCAACGAGUCGGAUUGUUUGGGAAUGCAGUCCAAAAUGGGUGGUAAAUUUCAUCUAAAGCUAAAUAUUGGCGAGAGACCGAUAGCGAACAAGUACCGUGAGGGAAAGAUGAAAAGAACUUUGAAAAGAGAGUUAAACAGUACGUGAAAUUGUCAAAAGGGAAGCGUUUGACACCAGUGUUGUUUAGUUGAAAAUCAAUUCAAUAAUUUUUGAUUCUAAGUAGUAUUGACUUCAUCAGCUUGCUGCUUUCUUCUCAGGAAAUUAUUGAAUGCACUUUUCAGUUAACAAGUCAACAUCAAUUUCUUUUGUUGUAAAAGGGUAAGAGGAAGGUGGCUUACGCUUCGGCGUAAGUGUUUAUAGCCUUUUACCUCUGCAAUCGGAGAGAUUGAGGACUAGCAGCGUAGACUCUUCGGGGUUAGAUACACCUGGUGCUAAGCUAUAGCCUUGUAUAGACAACUUGUUGACUAUGCUCAGUCAUGUAGCUUACUCGCUUGAUGCUAUUUUACCUACGCUUAGGAUGUUGACACACGCGCGUGCUCG
rnacentral:rRNA from 1 species